rnacentral:tRNA from 1 species
UCCGCCCUGGUGUAAUGGUAGCACGCGGGCUUUUGGUGCCUUGAGAUCUGGGUUCGAAUCCUGGGGGCGGAGCCA